rnacentral:rRNA from 1 species
AAAGAUAAGUAUGCAACUAUGAUUACUCAUUUACGUCAGGUCAAAGUGCAGCUUAUGGGAAGGUGAUGAUGGGUUACACCCUAAACAAAGAUACGGAAUAUGAUAUCAAAAGUCGUAUAAAGGAGGACUUGGACGUAAUAGUGACCCAAUUUCACAAUGAAGCCGAAUCUAAGACAUGCACACAUCGCCCGUCACUCUCGCCUAAAGGCGAGAUAAGUCGUAACAAAGUAGGUGUAACGGAAGUUGCACCUGU